UAAAAUUUAUUUUAGGUGUAGAAGCUUAAAUAUUGAGUCUGUUCGACUUUUAAAAUUUUAC
rnacentral:tRNA from 1 species